AGACUCGGCGCCCGCCGCGAGCGGGAAGGAGGCGUGUGCGCGGCCAUGUGCGUUUAGCGCAGCGCGCUCUGCUCUCAGCCCCCGGCCGCGACCCUGCGAGCCCCUGAAGCCCGGGUAACCAAGCCGCCGCCGCCGGCGCCGGCUCGCGGGGACCCGCCACCGUGGAAGCCCCGCGCCCGCAGCGCGUUCCUGGCGAGUCGGAGGUAAAGUGAACAGAGUUAUCUGUGACAUUCCAUCAGGCACCUAUGUAAGGAAAUCGUACCGUAAUAACUCACCAUGGCGUAUGGAGUGCCAAGAAAGAACACGGUGAAAACCAUUUUGUGGGGCAGUUGUUAUAAUGUGGUCCUACACUGUCACACAGGCUAGAAUGUCGUGCACCUCCUAGGCUUGAGUGAUCUUCCCACCUCAGCCUCCUGAGUAGCUGGGACCACAGGCAUACACCACUGUGCCCGGAACCUUGGGAUCUUGCACUGCUUGCAAAGACCUGGUACACGAACCUAGCCAAUAUCAAGUUACCUUUCUUGGAAGAAAUUUCAUUUGGUGGUUCUGUGCAGCUCACAAAAU
rnacentral:sRNA from 1 species